rnacentral:misc_RNA from 1 species
UGCAUGGUUAUAUAUAUCUAUGUAUAUACACCUCAAUUUGGGUAUAGAGCGCAUGGAGGCCACGAGAACGAUAGAAGAAAUCGACCGCGUCAUUAAGGCCAGAAUCGUUGGGUGCCUCUGUGGGCCUCUGUAGGGCCCCUCCGAUGGCUUGUUUCCCUCCUUUCAAAUCACCCGAUACACAUCCUCCCAUCUCUCCCUGUAUCUCUCGCUAAACUAGAAUCAAUGUGAAAGAAAAACCAGAAAAAUCUCUUCUAAAGCGC